CGUGAGCGGCGGACGGGUGAGUAACGCGUGGGUAACCUGCCUCAUACAGGGGGAUAACAGUUGGAAAACGGCUGCUAAUACCGCAUAAGCGCACAGUACCGCAUGGUACGGUGUGAAAAACUCCGGUGGUAUGAGAUGGACCCGCGUCUGAUUAGGUAGUUGGUGGGGUAACGGCCUACCAAGCCGACGAUCAGUAGCCGACCUGAGAGGGUGACCGGCCACAUUGGGACUGAGACACGGCCCAA
rnacentral:rRNA from 1 species